CCCUUAGAUGUUCUGGGCAGCACGCGCGCUACAAUGGUCUUCGCAAACGGAUGCAUUCUCGAAGGAGAAUGCCAAUCUUGGAAUCUAUGCCUUGGUCGGGACAGUUGCUUGCAAUUUUUCGACUCGAACCAGGAAUUCCUUGUAAUCGUGAUUCAUCACACCACGAUGAAUACGUCCCUGCCCUUUGUACACACCGCCCGUCGCUCCUACCGAUCGAAGAGUUAGGUGAAUUGUUUUGAUCGAUAAGAUUUGACUAUGGUCAACUCUCGUUGUGAAAUUCUGUGAAUCUGACUGUUUAGAGGAAGGAAAAGUCGUAACA
rnacentral:rRNA from 1 species